UGUGAAUUGCCAGAGCAGCCAAGGACCUG
rnacentral:piRNA from 1 species